CAAAUCUAUUUUUUGUUGUUUACUGAAGAGAGCAAAUUAUUUCAAAUUAUUGAAGAUGAAUAUUGCCAUUCUUUUGAGGUACUUGGGUAAAUGAAGAUCCCAAACAGAAUAUGUGGAUUAUAAAAGUAAAGGGAUUGUUGUAGCUGAAUUAGUAAAUUAUGUGAGGUUGAUUUCGUCAAUUGCUGAUGAACUAAACAUUGACAAAGCUCAGAAAAAUAUUGAUCUAUGUCCUCCGAUGUUACAAUGAGGAAUGUCAGUGGAAUUUGGAAGCAUCUACUUACAAAAAAAAUAAAUAUUUUUAUGAUUCGUAAAUUUAACCCUGAGCAUACAUGCGCUCUGAGGGACAGGGUACUAUAGAAUAUUUUGGAGACAACUUCUUUUGUUUGUGAAUUCACGACUCCAAAACUAGUUAACCAUGAGAGAAAAUACACACUCGGGGACAUCAUCGAAGAAAUGAAAGUUGUAUAUGGUAUGGAUAUAAAUUAUUUGAAGGCAUGGAGUGCAAAGGAGCAUGCCAUAUCGUUGCUUAGAGGUGGACCUGCAAAUGGUUAUAGACAGAUGCCGAGAUACAUUUAUAUGUUAAAAAAUGUAUAUCCUAAUUCACACGUUGCAAUGCACAAAUCAUGGGAUAAUCGAUUCAUGUAUCUGUUUAUAGCGCUGCAUCCCAUGAUUAGGGGGUUCGAGUAUUACAGACCCGUUGUUGUUGUUGAUGGGGCACAUUUAAGUGAACCAUAUCAAGGCAAAUUCAUCUCAACAAGUACCCUUGAUGGUGCAGGCUUCUUCAACAUAUGUAUAUUCGGUUUAUGAAUCUGGGAGAAGAUACAUUAUUGAUUUAGAAAGAGGCACAUGCAACUAUGCGAGGUUUCAAAUAGAUCAAAUACCUUGUGCUCACGCUAUAGCUGUGUUGAAGUCUAAAUAUGUAAAAGAUUUUGGAGAAUACUGUUUAGAAUACCACAAGCCAAACACAUUGGUAAAGACAUAUGAAGUUCCAAUCGUUCCAAUGCCAGACAAGAAAGACUGGGAUACUCCCAGUAGUGUAGAUGAGGAAGAAGACCGAAGAAGGGGCGGAAGAAGAAAUCAAGUAAAAUACUUUUUUCAAGCACAAAUCGUUGUGGAUGAUGCAACCAAGAAGGGCACAAUAUGCGUUCAUGUAGCUUUUUUUUUCAAAGGAGAACUAAUUUAUUGUUUUGCUAUACUUUUGAAGAUUACUAACUGAUAUAUUUUCGUGUUUUAUUUUUUCGUUGAAAUAAAUUUUAC